UUACGGCCACAUCACGUUGAAGCAACGGUCCCCGUACGAUCACCGAAGAUAAGCAACGUAGGGCCUGAUCAUUACUUAGAUGAGUGACCGUUUUGCAUUA